ACAGUAAACACACAUUAAACACACAUUAAACACACAUUAAACACACAGUAAACACACAUUAAACACACAUUAAACACACAUUAAACACACAUUAAACACACAGUAAACACACAUUAAACACACAUUAAACAUGGCUUAAUAGAGACAGUUUCAAACACAAAUCAGCUUCACUAUAACUCGCAGCAUUCACAGACAAACACUUGUCUUUAUCUGGACACAUUUUCCCCACAAAUACAACAUGCUAACGUUAUUAGCACAAGCCUAUGGCAUUUUACAUUGUAUAAAUUAGCCUAGCAGCUAGCAGAGAUUUCCUCUGCUCAUAUGAAGCCAGGAUAAAUCACACACAAGACUUAAAAUGCUAUUUUAGUGGAGGCUUUAUUGUCUUCACAAUUUAUUGUUUCUUAUCUGUGAAAUUAAAGUAAAUCAAAGCUUUGUUUCCACUGAGGGAAAUGGCUUCAGCUUACAGAGACAGACAGGAGGUCUGCGUCACUGUGACGUGCAGUUACAUAUCUGGGGAGGUGCACGUCCCUCAGGCUGCAAAGUUUCAUGGCUGGAGUCCUCCACGUCGGUGACCAAUGUGACGACAGGGUCAAAGGUUACACUUCUGUCACUGACUUUAAAUAUUAAAGGAAAUUGCAGCAAAAAAAACAAAACAUCAUUAACAUGGCUGAAAAAUGUUGAUGGAAUGUCCAAAAAAUAUUCAUAAGAUGUCUGAAAAAAAUGUUUAAAAAGUCCAAAAAAUAUUAUGAAAAUAUCCAAAAAAGCGUUGAUAAAAUAUUUGAAAACUGUUAUUAAAACGUCGCCGGAAAAUGUCCUUCCACAACCAUGUCAAAAUAUUACACAUAUACUCAACCUGGUGCAGGAUUCAGAUCCCUAAAAUGUGAUGUCGCUGUGAGAUACACAGAGUCAGGAAAAGAACCUCCCUGGGUGGAUCUCCACUGUUCAUCACAGACACUUCGCACUUCGUCCAAAAACGUAUGUUACCGUGUCCCCUCUGACGGGCGCUACAGGGCAGAGCAUGCAGACACACACACAGUGUUUAUCCCCACAGGACGUCACACUCAUGAACAGUUAACUCACAUAUGUGAAUGUCUUCUGUCAGUGUCACCGCAGCACCCAGCAGUUACUACGCAAUCACCAGUGUUAGCUGUGUGAGAGUAUUUAUAGACUGUGCUGUACAUAAUAUUCUGUUAUCUCUUAAGCAUCUUCACUGACAGCAGCAGCCUGAACAAGCCUCACUGUGGAACAGCUGUACAUGCAGCCUCCAUAUUUAAUGUGCUUCAUAUUCAUACACUAUUUAUUCUAAUGUUCUGUGUACUAUGAUGUACUUCCAGCACACAGUGACCAACAGAGAGCAGACACAACACAUCAGCUGUUCGUGCACCAUCACAUCUGUUGGGCUCGUUUCCAUUAUGGUCAUUAUUGCUUCUGCACUCUAUUGAUUUGUUUGUUUAUUGCACGUGCAUUGUAUUUGUUUAAAAUGCUCACAGUGUACAAACUGCAUAUUUAUAUCUCUUUAUAUCUUGUAUACCUUGUAUAUUUUGACUGAUAUUUAAUGUUCUAUUGUUUUAAAACUGAGCCCAGAGUGUGACCCUGACCCAGGGAACUCACUGGUUGUGCUGGUCGCUACUGGUUUGUGAACAUUAAUUGCUGUUACUGUACUUGAAGCAUUCUCUGGCACAAGACUUUCCUGCAGUAUAAAGAAAAGUUCUACUGAAUUGAACUGAAUUAGUAGAGCUAGUGUUGUGUCUGCCUUUCCAUUGACUGCAGAUGGAAACCAGCAAAAAGCUAAAUCUGGUGCAUCACUUUGCUUUUGUGUUUUUGGACAAACUUUCGGACUAAUUAAUCUCAUCAGUGGUAAAUAACGAUCUGAGUCUUCAGGAUAUCAACUGUGUGAUCAAUGAUGCUGAUUCCUGUCGUGUGUCUCUGGCACCACCUGAUGGAGAUUAUGGGAAGUACACUCUCUGGAAUUAUGUCACUAGGUAUACCAAAUGUGUGAUGUCACUUUCCUUUCUGAUCUUCAGUCAGUUUAGAGUUUGAGCUCAAGAAAUUUUUUGAGGUUGUUUUGGGAGAUCCUGAUCGUUCUCUGCCCGAGGCCCAGCUGUUCACAAGUAAUCUUACUGGAUUCUGAAAUCAGAUUAGAUCAUGUAAUCCACUCCUGGUUUUGAUCUGGAUCAGAUCUUGUGUAUGUUGUUCCAUCUUUCCAGUAAGAUUGGGAUAGUGUUGAUCCAAAAAAUACUAAUAAUCUGGAUUAUCCUGAUGCCUGCAGAUUUCAGGAUUUCAGAUGCAAAACAUUAUUAAACUUUUAAUUGGUCAAAUACAUUUACAUUCAUUUCUAUUUUGCACUUGAUUUGUUUAACAGUUACUUUGAUAAAGUGUUAUCAUAAAGUAUAUGAUAUUUUAGGAGGUAGAUUAAAUUUGAAACGUUGUUUUCGCACCACUUAAAAGUGUGUGUAUCAGUUUGUGGGGUGAUUUUGUGGAACACACUGAGUGAAGAAAUCAGAAGUAAAGAUAUCAGACAGUUUAAAAA